CAUUUCAACUUCAACAAAAACCACAAAAUCGAAAAUUUAAAUUUAUAAUUAACACCAGCACCAAAAAAAAAAAGUUUUGGUGGACAAAAGCAUCGUUAUUCCUUCAUUAUUCCUUACAGAACCGACAAAAGCAUCACAAACAAAGCCACAAUUCAUUCCAAUUCCUCCAAAUUCCGCAUCGUAUUGGACACAUACUAUUGCAUACUCCAAACUUGUUCACAAUCUCGCCACAAAAAGGUUGAUCUAGGUCAUUGAUCUCAUCAUCUCAGGAACCACUUUACCUCAAUCUCCUAUGUGGUUUUACUCUUGGAUUGUUGUUUGAGUUGGAGCACUUGCAAUUUUCUUAAUUUAUGCUUCAUUUGUUAUUGUUUCAUCGCCGAUUGGUGCCAGGUUCAUGGAUAUUUUUACAGUAUAGGUAGUUCUGAGAAGUUAGAUGGAUCCGGAUCUCCCAUAAACUAUGUUUUGAAUAGAAAAAAUUAUGAUUAUAACACGAUUUUGUUGAAACCACAUUGUAUAGUUUUUAAAAGAUCAGAGUGAUACCAAACAAUCACCAAGUACUGCAGAUGUGUAAGAUAUUGCAGUUGCAGAAUAUAUUUUCCCUCUAAUACAUAAUUUAUCAAAAAAAAAUCUAAUUCUAAUUAUUGAGUAAAAACUGCCGUAAUUUAACAAUUAAAAAAAAAGAAAGGAAUAUUCUAGGAUCGAGUCAAUAUAAACAACAUAUUGCCUAGUAAUUUUGCAUAAAAACAAGAGACGGUUUAAUAUUUUAGGGUUGAAGAUUGAUGAAAAAGUUGUACGAAGAUGAAGAUGAGGGAAGAAGAUGAAUAAAUAAGAUGUUGGUGAUACACACUUUAAAUCUGAUAGAUCUCAUUUAUCCAACGGUCUUCUUUUCUUGAGGGUUUAAAUGAAUAAAAUAGGACCAAAUUUAAUGAUGGGAAGAAGAUAAAUGACCAAUUUAAAACUUUUAAUAGUUAGAGGAUCAAAUUGAAAAUUGAAAAUAAGUUAAGGGACCAAAUGAUACAUUAAACCUUAAUUUGAUCACAAAUUUCUUUUGCCUUGUUGUGCUGUAAUAAAGAUUGCAACGGGUUUGGUUUUGUUUUUGUUGCUUUUAUUAUUGAUUAAUGUGUUGGCAAUUGCGGUGCAGAUGCAAAUAUUCAUAGAGACCCAGGGUGGAGAGAGGUUCCCCCUGAUGGUUAAGAGUUCAGACAGGAUAUUCAAUGUAAUGGAGAAGAUUCUUGAGAAGGAAGAUAUCCCAGUGCACAAUCAAUGUCUGAUCUUCGACUAUAGGCGACUAGAUUACAACCUGACAUGCUUGUGCUCCACCAAAUUGGGGACUAGAUGACCACUGCGUCAUCACCAUUACUACAUCCAAGAGCAGGCAACCAUCCACCUUAUCAUGAAGACAAUCAGCCUAUAAGUAGAAAAGUCAUACAUUAUUGAUAGCAUAGAGUCUUUGACUUUUGUUCUUUUUGUUUUGUCUUGAGCUGUAUAACUGGGGAUGAUUUUCAGCAAUUGAAGAAACAUAUUUAUUUUCCAACACUA